rnacentral:tRNA from 2 species
GGUAUUAAGCCGGAUUAACGGAUAACAUUGAUGAAGUUAAAUAUGAAAUUUUUCUAAUAC